rnacentral:rRNA from 1 species
UACGUAGGGUGCAAGCGUUAAUCGGAAUUACUGGCGUAAAGCGUGCGCAGGCGGUUUUGUAAGUCUGUCGUGAAAGCCCCGGGCUCAACCUGGGAAUUGCGAUGGAGACUGCAAGGCUUGAAUCUGGCAGAGGGGGGUAGAAUUCCACGUGUAGCAGUGAAAUGCGUAGAGAUGUGGAGGAACACCGAUGGCGAAGGCAGCCCCCUGGGUCAAGAUUGACGCUCAUGCACGAAAGCGUGGGGAGCAAACAGG